AACGAACGCUGGCGGCGUGCCUAAUACAUGCAAGUCGUGCGAGAAAAGGGGGGCAACUCCCUGAGUACAGCGGCGCACGGGUGAGUAACACGUAGGUAACCUGCCCUCGAGCCUGGAAUAACCUACCGAAAGGUGGGCUAAUACCGGAUAUGACCACGGGCGUCUCGGCGCUUGCGGUGAAAGGUGGCCUCUACUUGUAAGCUACCACUCAAGGAUGAGCCUGCGGGCCAUUAGCUAGUUGGCGGGGUAACGGCCCACCAAGGCAAUGAUGGCUAGCUGGUCUGAGAGGAUGGCCAGCCACACUGGGACUGAAACACGGCCCAGACACCUACGGAGGCAG
rnacentral:rRNA from 1 species